rnacentral:rRNA from 1 species
GCGGCAGGCUUAACACAUGCAAGUCGAGCGCCCCGCAAGGGGAGCGGCAGACGGGUGAGUAACGCGUGGGAACAUACCCUCCGGUUCGGAAUAACUCAGGGAAACUUGAGCUAAUACCGGAUACGGUCGAGAGGCGAAAGAUUUAUCGCCGGAGGAUUGGCCCGCGUCCGAUUAGCUAGUUGGUGUGGUAAUGGCGCACCAAGGCGACGAUCGGUAGCUGGUCUGAGAGGAUGAUCAGCCACAUUGGGACUGAGACACGGCCCAAACUCCUACGGGAGGCAGCAGUGGGGAAUAUUGGACAAUGGGCGCAAGCCUGAUCCAGCCAUGCCGCGUGAGUGAUGAAGGCCUUAGGGUUGUAAAGCUCUUUCGCCCACGACGAUAAUGACGGUAGUGGGAGAAGAAGCCCCGGCUAACUUCGUGCCAGCAGCCGCGGUAAUACGAAGGGGGCUAGCGUUGUUCGGAAUUACUGAGCGUAAAGCGCGUGUAGGCGGGUCUUUAAG